rnacentral:snRNA from 1 species
AUCGCUUCUCGGCUCUUUUGAGCUAAGAUCAAGUGUAGUAUCUGUUCUUCUCAGUUUAAUACCUGGGACGGAAACGAUUCGUUUCCUCUAUGUAUUAAUCGGAUUUUUGAACUUGGAGUAUGGUGCUGGAGCUUGCUCCACCCUGCUCACGGGUUGUCCUGGUAUUGCAGUAC